CCAGUAGGUAGCCAUCUUAACAUCUCACGGGAAAUUUUUAUGGUUAACCGGAACUGCAAGAAUUUGUCUCUUUAGCACAACAAAAUUCGAUAAUCACGAAUGCUAACCAAAUAUAAAUUCGAGUCUUACCAAGUAUCUUACAUCACUGACUCUAAGCAAAUUUAAUGUUUUGAAAGUCAACUACAUGUCUCCAAAUUUCAGCCAGCAAAAAGAAGAAACUCGAACGUGCCCGAGUAUAUAACGAGAAGAUAACGGGACCUUCUUCAUAAAAAAAAACCUCACCAAUAGCAAAGCUAUAAAGUUACCGAUUCAUCUUUCUUCCAGAAUACAACCAACAAACUGCACAGAUAAUAUGUGACAUUUGUUUUUAAAAUCGGUUUCGGAUUCCAUACCUUUCGUUACUUGUGGAAUACCUCUAACCAUAUAUUAAGUCUAUAUACAGAUUAUAAAGCUCCAACUACUUGUCCAUAUUUAUUUGUCUGAGCACUUUAAUAUAAGCGCCAUCUAGCAGCGGACCUCGUAAUCUCUACGAAAUUCAUCGAUGUCGCUGCCUUUCGAAACAAACCUAGAGGUUCCAAAUUUGACCACCAAAAUUAAAAUCCACGACGUUACAAUAUGCAUAUUUGUUCGUUCUUAACCGAUUCCUUGCCACCUACAUUUUUCAAAUCUAUUCGCCCGGGCCCCAUAUAAAAUGUAUUGACGCGUGAGUCGCGUCAUUGGCCCUCCUGAAUGGUGACGCACCUAGUGCGUCAUUGGAACCCGGUAAUGUUUUUGAUACUAUUUUAAGUAGUUUCAAGUAUAAUAAUACAAAGUGAGACCUGUUACCGUGUGUUUUGUUUUAUUAAUUAGUUUAGUGUGCUUUAAAGUGACUAUCUACGUGUCUAAUAGGAAAUGGAAGAAAUUAGAAAACGAAAAUAUAUUCCGGAAACGGAACAAGAGACACAGUGCGAGGAUGACCAGUUAUUUGAGGAGAACUCUCAAUCCUGGGAAUUUGAUAGUGGAACAAAUUAUGUAAGGGAUACUAGGAAGAAUACAACGAAGGAUAGUGCAACGUGCACAGAAAAGCAGACGGAAGAUGUAAAGGCUGUGACAGUCGUGGAUAUGCACGGCUGCAAAUAUUUUGGGCAAUUUGUGUCCAAUGAAUUACUUCGAUUUAACAUUACUCAAAGAUAUGUUAUUAUGCAAAAUAUUAUAGAAAUAUUAAAAAAAUAAUUUAAUUAAUACAUUACGAGUAUGUAUGUAAGAUAAGGUUAUAAGCAGGGGUAAAUGAAAGAAAUAUUUAAGUUUUUGAAGAUUUAUUACAAAUUAAAACAUAUUACAAUAUCGUACCCACGUAUGUCUAUUGUUCAUUUUGGUAAUUAAACACUGCUUAUUUGAGUGAUUAUUUUAAUUAGGUAAUUAAGGAUUUGGUUUCAUAGGAACAACAUAAUUACUUACUUUAAUUGUUUUACAUGUUAGAACUGAUUAAUCAUAGUGAUCAUUAAUUGUACCUGAUUAUUAAGAAAUUCGUAUAUCAUAUAUAAGCAAUUAUUCUACCUCCAUGGCGCAGUGGUUAGAGCGUUAAAUUCUCAAAUCAAUAAUGAUUAGUAUUUGUGAAAUGCUCUAAAACAUUCCAGGCAUAAUCCAGGAAAACCUGGACAGUCAGGACAGCCAAACAACACAUCGACUCUUUUUUUGUGGACAUUAAAGCAGAGCCUGCACCGUUUUCUCAUUGUUUUGCCAUUUCUUUUGGGUAAAUGUGCUGGCAAAUGAAUUCUACCCGAAACUGACGGUCGAAUAUUCUCUGAUUUAUUGGGUAACAGGUAUUCAAUUAUUCGUAAUCUAAAAUCAUAUAAAGUUGUCUUCCUUUCUCUGUUUAAAUUAUAAAGGAAAAAAGAAUUUAAUAAUUGCAUCUGCAUGAUGUGGAUAAUUACUUUUUUAUACCACCUUAACGUUUUAUGUUCUGCACAAUAAUAAUUUAACAUUUGGUCAUGCUUGUCCACUGAUCUCAUAAAUUUAUUGUAAUUUACCUGCACUUUAGGUUUAAACGAAACGUUUCCGUAUUUAUUUUUUGAAAGUAUGUAUUCACUAUUGUGUUCAGAACUCACGAAACAGACCUCCCUCUUAUCUAGCCAUUUUGUCACUGUUACAUUUUUAUUGUUAUGCAUAAUACAUGCUUCAUUUUUUUGUAAUUUUGUAUUAAUUAAAUCUUUGGGAUUCCCUUUUUUAUUUUGCCUUAAAGUGCCGGUUAAAUAUGUGUUAUUAUUUAAUAAUUCGUUGGCCAUAUCAACGCUUGCAUAAUAAUUGUUUACAUAUAUAGAAUGACCUACAUUUAAAUAGUUUUGAGUUAGUAAACGUAAUACUUUUUUGACGUGACCACGACCACCCACUACAUUAUCUUGAGCCCCAGCAUACAAAUGUAUUUUCAUGCAGAUACCGUUAUUUUCGGCUAACAUAUAUAAUUUUAUGCCAUAUUUGUGAACUUUAUUUUUCAUAUAUUGACGAAAUCUUAAUCGACCUGUCCAUAAUAUCAGAGAUUCAUCCACAGUCAACUCUUUACUUGGAUAAUAUAUUUCUUCUAAUGUUUUAUUAAAUAUGUCAAUUAAUGAGCAUACCUUUUUAAUGCUUUCAUUGCCUGGAAUAUUUUGAACAUUCAACGCUCUUAAAAUCAUGAAGAAUCUAUUUCUUGACAUGUAGUUUUUUAAUGUAAAAUCAAAUAAAUAAUGUUUUUUCCAGUAAUCAGUGAGCCGAUUUAAUUUUAUUAAUCCCAUUAGGAAAAUAAUGCCAAUAAAGGUCUGGAAUUCUGGCAAAGAUAUUGGUUUCCACCUUUUGAAUCGUGUAUGCCCUGUACUCGUGGAUUUCAGGAUUUUACCAUUUGCGUUUGUACACGUUAUUAUAAGAUCAUAAAAAUGAUUGUUGAAUAACAAAUUAAAAAAAUCAAUUGGUUCAGUUCCGGUCAUAUUUUUUUUAAGACCAGGGUUGCCAGUAAACGGAAUUAUAUUUUCAAGAGCUGGAUUACCCAUGGUCCAGGUUCCUUCUUGAAGUACUUCCGCGUCUCGCAGUACUGGUUGCUCAUUUUCGGUAGUAACUACCUCUUCCUCAGCCAAAUCUAUCCAAUCAUCUUCCAAAGUUUCUCCCAGCAGUAUGCCAUAUAAGUCCUGGUCCGUAAAUAGAUUCUCCUCGUCUGGAAGUAUAUCUCUUGGAGACUCCAUUGUCCUCAAAAUAUUUUCUAUUUCUUGUUCUGCUCUAGAAGUCGACGGUUGAUCCAUUGUUCUAAAAAAAUCAAAUGCGAGGUGUAAGUUACAUAGUUUCAACUUUACGUCCCUAAUUUUUUUUAUUUCAUUUUUUUUGUAUUAACGUGCAGACUGAGUCAUUACGUUUAAGAACAAUGCCGCGCAACUCGUUAUCGAUAAAGGGAUGCCGCUCGGGCGCAAAUAAAUACAACAAUAGCAUUGUUUUUACCUUGCGUUGUACGUUUCCCUGUUUUAGUUUACUAGUCAUUAUACCUACUAUAUUUUGUUGAGCUUUUAUGUUCUGGUAAGUUUGUUGUUUGUAAAAAAAACUUAACAAAUAACGUUAGUUUUGUUUGAUAAUUUAUCACAAUUUAAACUUUGUUCUUCAAAAAUUAAAUAAAGGAUUAUUUAUUAACAAUACUGUUUAAAAUAAAACUAUAUAAUACCCACCGCUACUGCUGUCUAGUUAUUAAAAAAUAAGAAAUUAAUAUCAAAAAACUUACCACAGAUGAACGGCAAGUAGAUUGAUUCAAAUUCGAUAGAUUUCCCAGUAACACAAACGUAAAAUCGGAGUCCAGUAUCACAAGCCACAAUGUCACUAAUGCAAAAUCACGGGAGUCCAGGUACACGCAAGCGAAUGUCGUCGGUAGGGUCAAAAGUAAUGAGAGCACGUCUGAUGUCUGACAAGGGCACAACAGAAGUGAUCUCGUCAUCAACCCAUAUUCGGCUCACUGCUGAGCUCGAGUCUCCUCUCAGAAUGAGAGGGGUUAGGCCAAUAGUCCACCACGCUGGCCCAAUGCGGAUUGGCAGACUUCACACACGCAGAGAAUUAAGAUAAUUCUCUGGUAUGCAGGUUUCCUCACGAUGUUUUCCUUCACCGAUUGAGACACGUGAUAUUUAAUUUCUUAAAAUGCACACAACUGAAAAGUUGGAGGUGCAUGCCCCGGACCGGAUUCGAACCCACACCCUCCGGAAUCGGAGGCAGAGGUCAUAUCCACUGGGCUAUCACGGCUUUCAAGUAUUCACGGAUCACGGAAGUGAUCUCAGAAAGGAUAAAUCGCCAUGCGCAGGAACACUUUCGCAGGUCUACUUUACUUAUACUUUACCGCGUCUAGUCACACGCUUCCCAAUGUUGUAGGCACAAUAAAUUUGUGAAGUGAAGAUAAAGAAAUAAAGUCACCCUAUUUGUUUAAAUAUUGUAAUAAAUUAUACUACAACUGUUAGAGACAAAAAUAUUUCAUUCCUAUCAAAUUCUUUUUUGAAUUUUUUUUGUGUUGUGUAAUGCCAUGAAAGUAGAGAGUAAGAUGGAGACAGUCAACAUAUCUGCACCUCGUUCUCAAUUUUUAAGCGAGAGUAACCGUUAGAUAUAUAUUUUAUUAGCCAUUUUUUACAUUUUAGUGUGUGAAUAAUUAUGGAUGAAUAAAAAAAUAUACCAUGUGGUUGACCACAGAUAUAAGAGGUAACUAGAUUUAUAAAGUGUCAAUUCUUUGUAUUGAAACCAGCGUACCCAGGGGCGUGGCCUAAAUGGCUGUUUAAUAUUUAGUGAAAAAUGAAAUAUGUCACCCUUACUUUAGAGUUGAAUAUUAUUUAUUCCUUUUGUCACAGAACAAAACAAGACUGCUAGUACAUGCGCGGACACGUUUGCGAUGUUCCGCACACCCGGGUGUACGCGGGCCACGCCCCCUUGAUACUUCUAUUGCUAAAAGCGUUAGCUUUUAGCGUUGUCUGUUCUGUGUGGUUGACGACCCCUGACAAUUUAACUUUCCAAAAUAAUCUAGUGGCCACUGAUAUUAUUGUCUCUAAUGUGUUAUUUUUUAUGUAAAAUAAAAGGAUUUUUGGUUUAAAUUGAAUAAAAAAUAUAUUUAGUACAAUUUUCUAAUGACGCGCUUGUCGCGUCAUUGGCCUCCCUAAAGGUUUUUUCAUGACGCGCUAGGUGCGUCAUGGGCCAUGAAUCGGUUAAGUACUAAAAAGAGAUCUACAUUUCUAGCAUUUGUUUUUAUAGUUUUUUAUCAGGAAUCCACAAACAUAAGUGCAUGCUUUUACAGGCUGCCUAUUUUUUUAAUAAUGUUUUAAAAUUAUUGAUAGUUACAUCAUUGUUGUUAAUCUCACAAUUGCCAGUCCUUAUGUCAAAACCCGCAGUAUUCUUCUCUCGGGCCCGUAAGGGUCCGGGGGGAGACGUGACCAAAGUUUAACUUUCUGCACGUGGCCUUUCUGCUCAAAGCGUUAAGCCGCUACGCUACAUUCAUUGGAUUACUUCCGGAUGGGAGUGUUUUUAUUUUUCCUUUAUUUAUUAUAUUUAACUUUAAACUGGCGUAAUUUAGUGCUUCUUUGUUAUCUUUAUAUUCUUUGAACUGAUUGAACAUAUGCAUAUUUGUUCGUUCUUCAGUACUAAAAAGAGAUCUACAUUUGUAGCAUUUGUUUUUAUAGUUUUAUAUCAAAAAUACACAAACAUAAGCGCAUGCUUGCGAUUCGGCACUUUGCUCUAACACUUGAAUAUCAUUGAGUGACCACACUUAAGUUGAUGCAAAAGCAUCUUCAAUGUGGAAACUUAUAAGCUGCCUAUUUUGUAAUAAUAUUUUAAAAUUAUCGAUAAUUACAACUCGAGAAUCCCUCACACAAAAAUGCCUGCCGUAAAAAUGUACAGGCUCUUUGGGUUGGCCUGAGGCCUAGGAAGUGUUCUACCAGUAGCUUAUGCUAGGAAGAAAUUGGAGUUUGGCGCCUUCACUUAAUUAGACCCGCUUGUGGGAAGCCCGCCGAAGGCGGAAGUAACAAGCUUUCUCAUCUGGUGAUCUUCUGUGGUAGGGGGGCUAAGCCCCGGAUGGCCGUGGUUUGCUGAGUCAGUCCUGAUGAUGGCCUUCUCAGCCUUGGCCUUUGCUGCGUUGCGGACGAACCUCAGAGCUCUGGUCAGUCGACGGAGAGCUACAUACCACCUCCUGCGCAGGUGUUUCUUCGUGCUGAGACUGGUAAUGUAUAAUAACAACAUUGUUCUCAAUAUUACAAUUGCCAGUCCUUAUAUGAGCCAAACUACUUAGCAUUGUGGUUUUUAAGCCUGCAAAAAAUUACCAGUAGUGGGGUUGCAGUUUGAGCCACAGUUUCCACGAAUGCACCCAAAUAAAUUUUCCAAAGGGCCCUGUUGGAAUCGCCGAGUUGCAAGACUUUUUAUUGAUUAAUUUUUAGCCAAAAACGGCCCAAACUCUCCCAUAACAUUAUUAUUCCAUUUAAAGUCCACUGCCAUCUUACGAAAUAAACGAAGGUGGCGUGUACUUUUUUAGCGAAAGUCUGGCCGCUUAGAGAUUGCGUUUCUGGCAGGUCGUGAUCAACUGGGCGAUGUAAGUUCUUUAGAAGAGGUGUUACCCCUCGUAUCGGAAACUGGUACACCAAGAAGAGAAGUCUAUCGUAGAAAACAUAACUGGCCUCGUCAGUUUUGGAGAACUCUGACAUCCAUAAUAGAUGAUUCAUGAGCGAGUCCUCACUCUUGGUCAUGGUUUGAUGCGGGACAUGUUUUCUGUUGCUACCUGAUAGAGCCUCAUCUCUGGGCUUUCUUCUUCUUCGUCGUUACACUCAUGUUAUGGUCGUCAUUUAUCCUUUGGAGCUAAUGGUCGAUCAUAAGUAAGGCUAAGGUCCAGGACGAUUAAUUCUAUUAAUAAAAUAUCUAGUGAUACACACAGAUCUAACAGAACAGCCUGUAUAAAUAUUUUAGUACAUUAUAUUAUAAAUCCUGCUAGCCACCUGCAGGUUUAUUCACUAUCCUUGACGUAUGGACUUGACUUAUACAAAAUUGAGAUUCUUUGUAAUAAUUUCAUCCUGGUCCUUACUAGUGGAUAUCUCAGUAAAUAAAUGACAUUUUGUUAAUUGAUUUGAUGUUUAUUUUAAUAGGUUGAUAGUAAAUAUCUAAAUAGCGAAUAGGCCAGCUGGAAAGUAAAGCGUUAGAAAUUCACUUAUCUUAAUGUAGCUGUUGUGCUUUUUUAAUUUUAUAUGCUACAUCACAUUCACAUAUAACAAAAUCGGAAUUAAUUAUUUAACAUGAUCUUCUAUUAAAGAGUUUCCUUAUUAAACUAUACAGGAAGAAAAUUUUUUUAGUGCGGAUAUUUUUAUAUUUUGUACAUAAACAAAAUUUAAUGAUCACGUAUUUUUUCUUUUUUUCUUUAACUCAAAAAUAACAAAAUUAUCGUUAGCUAAAGUUAUUUACUUUUGAACAGAAUUUUAGGGUCACCCUAUUGUGCGUUUAUUUUAUUUUCGUUUGAUACCUAAAGGACGUCACCAGAUCACUUUUAAGCUGAAUAUAUCUUGUUUAGUAAUAAUAUGUACACUAUUUUGUUAUUUUAGAGACAUAAAUUAAAAAAAAAAUUACAUAAAAUGUAUCGAACUGUUUGUAGAUUUAUAUUCUAUUAAUGAUACAGAACCACGAAAAAAAAUAUCCGCACUAAAGACCGAAUCACCCUGUAUAAAUAUUCUGUUUAAUAUUUAUUAUGAGCUACACAUUAAAACCAUGUCAUAUUGCAGCGUGUACUUAGUUGUAAUAUAGAAUUCUGGCAAAUGUCUAGUCUGUAUGGGUCAGGGGCAACAAAUUCGUCAUAUACAUUUUUUGUUUCAUUUACUCUAUUCUCUCAAUUUAAUUCAAAUCACCAUUCUCUCAAUGAGAUAUACAAAGAGGAUUGGUUAUAUCUGGAUUUACUUCUUUCAAAUAGAAACUGUAACAUUCACAAUUAAAUUUAGUGUAAACUCUUGCAGCUUAGUACUACUUAAACUAAAUAAAAGAAACAAUUAAUAUUCAAUAAGAAAGAUAAAAAACCAUCACGAAUAUCUUCGAUAUUUCGUUUUUCUAAUUAAACCCUUCUCAUGGCACAACCACGAUGUAGAUUCGAUGAUCGCGGGGUCAGGUACCUCAGUUCUCUAACUCCCUAAGCGAUCCUACCGACUGCGCCAAAAAUAUAUGGUCGCACCAAGAAUCUCAAAGAAAACCCAAAUUUGACUUAUGAUUUAAUUUAUUAAUAGAGACUACAGCUAAGUUACAGGUAGGUGGCUGUUUACUCCAAAGUUGGAAGUAAAAGUGUUGAAAUAAUUAUUACAAUGUUUUAAUUCUUGCGAAAGAGUAGGUGACGUUCAUAUAAGGGAAUGCGACCGAACAAUGGCUGUCUCACGUACUCGCUGCAGGGUUGCCUCGCGUAACAGAGUCAACAUCUCCUGAGGAUGCUCGAUAGGAUCUCAAACACCUUCGAGAUUGCUGGUAGAGUUAUAGGGCGAUAACUCUCCGGCUUCGCUGGGUUUUUUCCUGGUUUAUAUAUCCCAGCUUCCAGGCGCUUGGAAAGUGGCCCGUUCUCAAGAUACUAUUGCAGAGUCGGGUCAGAGCGACUAUGGCUUUUCGGGGUAGGUGACGGAAAGCGGCGUUUGUCACCUCGUCCGGAGCUCGUCCGCUCCGGGAGCCUUAUUUGUUUUCAAUUUUUUGAUUAUGGCUCUUGUUUGGCCUGGGGUGAAGAAGGCCGCCUCUUUUUCUUCCUUUGUGUCGCUGGUUUGUGACCUUUCAAGAUACAGUUGCACCUUCUCUGUAUUCUCCGGGUCUUAAUGGCUUAAAGUAUUCUGCAAUUCCUUCAGCAAUCGUUGUUCUAAUGCAGCCCCCAUCCACCACAGCAUUGCAAAAACAACAAUGGACGCCAAGAUCCCGAUGAUAAUUCCAAUCAGCCAUUGAAAUUCUAUGUGUUGGGAUUGAAUCACGUCUUGUAAUCUUGAUGUAAUUUCGCCCAGGUCUGUGUUGGCGUUGUUCUGGACCAUGAAAAUUUGGUCGGUGCUGCGGCUGGUUGUGGAACCCAUUGCUGACUGUCUGCAGGUAUAAGAAUGAAUGAAUUAAUGAAUGAAAGAAUGCUUGGGAAGUGCGUUUUCUGUUGAACAAUCUAAUUUAUAUAUCCAUGAAUCGUACAAGGAGAAGGUGAGAUGCGCCCUGACCGUGUAAUCUUUGGUUGAUUGUUCCAUAUUACCUUCAUCUUAUCACAGGAACUUGGGUUUAUAUGUUUGUUGGUUAAAUCUGUGGUCCUCGCACGUCCUCCUGCACCAUCAGUAGCAUAAGCCUGUUCAGUGAAAGCCCAUUGAGCACGCUGAUUUCCAAUGAUCAAGUCCUUCUUCUGAAAAUUAUUACAGAAGCAUUUUAACAAAUAAAUAUGAUAUAUCUUGUUGUUAUUAAUCAUAUAAUAAAAAAUAUUUUCAGCGUCUUCAUUACUAUUACGAAGGCAUUCUCUGCGUGUAUUAGAUAUUAAUGAAUUUAUUGCAGUAUUAUAAUGGGUGAUUUUAUAAGCGUAGUUUUUUUCAAAAUCGAAUAAAACACUCAAUUUGCAUCAUAUAUUUAAAAUUUUUAUUGAAAUUUUUAACUUGGCCUUUGCCAUUUACAUUUUAAAGAUAACUUCAUCUAAAUGUUGUCUGCGGCUCCGAUUCGGAAGGUCCAAUUUUGCGUCACUGUUUCGAGCAUUUCGGCCUGUAUCUCACGAAUUACGCGUGUUAUGUUAUCUUGUAAGGCUUCAAUCGUGUUUGGUUUGUCCACAUACACGAAAGACUUUACAUAACCCCACAAGAGAUAAUCCAAAGGGGUCAAAUGAUCUUGGCGGCCUAUUCACAGGGCCGUCGGGUGUUGUGUACACGCAAAUCUGAAACGGCUGGAUCGCGUGGCGUGUGUUAUAUUUACAGGUAAUUGUGUCUUCGGUUGCUUUACGUACGCUUUGUCUGCCACCAACUAAUUCCCGACGAUGGUCACGUAUUUCCUAGACUUGAUAUAGGUCGAGCUGCACAGCAUGUCUUUUAAGUCGCAUAGCAAACAUUAAACAAGUCUUCACAAAUUGAUAAAUUAUUCUUCAAUUAAACUAUCUACUUUUUAAAAAAGUGCCUUUUGGUGCUUUGUUUACUAAAUCCUUAAUAAUCCUAUAUCCUAUAUGACACUUUUUAAAAGUAUCCCAGUUUUCCUCAAUAGUUAGUAGAGCGGCUUUAAUAUCCUUUUGUUAUCCGGGUUAAGACCCGAGCACUUGGAGCACUUUAUAUUGCUUUGUAUCUUUCGAAGUAACGUAGUCAAAAUUACUACGCCUCGCAUGACGUCGCCUAACUUUUCUUGUGGGAAUACCUCUAACAACAAUGUACUAGACUUCGCGCCAUAAAAGAAGUCUCGCGGCUAAAACCUGAACUAAAAUUGACAACGCCUUACACAAAUGACAAUAUGACCGUCAUUACCAAAUGACAAUUGAGUGUCAUUAAGACGUUAGCGUCGCGUCUUCAGGACUUGUUUCGUGGUGCUGAGUUUACAUCAACAAUCCGAGAAACAGCAGUCAGCUGAAGGAGUGUAUCAGUGAAGUGGCAGCAACUUCACCAACAUUUACUGAAGCGAGUUUUCACUAUUAUCGUCGCUCGCGAUUAAAGGAGUGCCGUUAUAGAGACGAGCCUCAUUUCCUCCCAUGCAUUAUUUCUCGCAUUAUUAUCCCUGUAUUAAGCUAUAUUCAUGUUUAAUAUAUCAGGAUAUUGUUUAACAACCUCAAUUAACUUUUCGUCUGACGUUAAUGACUAAGAUUUGCAAAAAUAAACUAAAAGAAACAAACAAAAUUCAAGGCUGCAAGUCACGUCACAUCACAGAUCAUAGAGAAAUAGUCGCUUGCCAAAAAUUCUCUGUAAUCUGAUAUCGCGUGCUUGUAAAGAACUGGGCCGAUUUUAAAAAUUCUUUCAUUAGUGGAAAGCUACAAUAUUUCCGAGUAACGGAGACACAUUUUAUCCCGUAUUCAUACGGAAACGGGUUCCUGUAUGCAAAAAGUCAAAUAAAUGGAGGGUGCAAAAUUAAAAAAUCAUUUAUUUCAAGUAAAUAAGCAGU